AUGCUUUCACUCUUACCAUCUCUAGAUGGCAUGUUGUCAAUGGGCAGCUCAUCGCUACCCCAUGUGAUUUCGUCUUCAUCAGCAUGCUCCGUACCAAAAAAACGGUUCAUCAAGUGGAUCAUCUACACUCUCCUCCUGCCAUUCGCUGUUGCGGUCAUUCUGAUUUGCAUAAGCCAUAAAUAUUAUUAUUAUUUGAAGUUGAAAAUAAAACAACAAUAUAACAUUGAGCAUAUACAAACCUUAGGUGAAUCUUCUGGUAGUGAUGAGCCAUCAUAGUCAGUAUCCUCUGAAAGCUCAUUGUUUUGAUCCAUUUCUUUUUUGUGAUCAAAUGAACCAUCAUCAUCAUAGUCUGAAACAGGCAUUCUUUUAGUAAAUGUAAAACAUAUAUUUGCCAGAGUUGUUCUGCAGGCAUUUUUACCUAUAGGUGGUAAAUCAGGGUAGCCAGUAGAUUUAGAGCCAUCAAUGGGAGGCGAAGACUUGCUCCUCCUACUAUAUUCGUCACUCAAAUCUAGACAACAGAAGAAUGAGACAACACAAGACUGGUUUGUGUUGUUAUAACAUUAAAACAGCAUUUACCUGUGGCUUCAUCGUCUUUAUUUUCUGGUGAAUAAGAAGUGUCCUGCUCUGGAGCUCUGGACACUAUCAAAUGCACAAGGCCUUUGGUUUUACGGAUUGUGGUGACAGCUUUGGUGUGAGACACACUUGUCAUCAUUUCAUCAUUUACCUUCAAUAAAAUAACAAGAUGAAAUAUCUAAAAGUUAAUGCAAAGUCCUGUCUAGAAAACGGUAAUUAUAAUAUAUAUAUUUACUUUAAGCAAUCGGUCUCCAACUUGCAGCUUUCCUGAGGCCUCAGCUACUCCUCCAGGAGUGAUGGACUUAACAAAGAUCCCUCUUUCUCCUCCGAUCACAGAGAACCCCAGGCCUCCAGACGGAGGCUUAUCCAGGUCAAUUUGUAGAGCUUCCUCCUAUGUGAGAACACAGUUGAAACGUUUACAAUGGCCACGGUCAGAAUUUAUGUUUAAUACUUAAAAUAAUUACUCGCAGUAUAUUUACCUUUAAAGGACAAAGUGAUGCAAGAAAAUCGGUUUCUCGUGAAGCAUCUGAUUUGAGAAAACCUACACCAAAUAUAGGUCACAAACGUAAGUAAAAUAUGAAUACAAAAAUAAAUAUUUAAUAGGUGAAAGGCCUUAAAUUAUACCAUUUAUCCCCGAUGAAACUUUGGGGUUGACAUCGUUGUUGAGGAAAGCAAGACUUUUCUGUCCCGUAAAAACAGGUUUGCCAUCCCUUUAAAAAGAUGGCAACAAGUCAGGCCAAAUACAUAAUAUUUCUUGUCUGAGAAAUGUGUUUAAUACUUUUAGUAAUUACCUUGUGGCUUUGAUAAUGAGGUCACUAAAGGAUAGCUCUAGCAGUCUCCUGCUCUCAUUGAGUGUCAACUCCUGGGUUGGAGCACCACUGAUAUAGUGGAUCAGAUCUAGGGGUCGCAAACUGCCCUCUUCAGAUGCCAGAGAUCCAGGGAGGAUGUCCUUAACAAAUAGGACUCUAUAUGGACUGUCACAGCCACCAUCUAGCACUAACCCUGUUCAAACAUACAUAUUUUAAAAAAAGGUAACAUUUAUGGUUGUUUUUAUAUAUAUAUAUAUAUAUAUAUAUAUAUAUACACACACACACACACACACAACACUGCGCAAUUGAUCGUUAGUGACUCAGCAGCUGUAUGGGUGGUCAGUACAAUGCCUUAACUUUCAAUCCCCGUAGCGGUUCAGAAUUGUUUUCUGGGUUUCUGGUUGGUUUUCUCAGAUGAUGGAACCAUCUUCAUGGUUACACAUUCCAACAGAAAAUCUACCAGAAACCCUAAAACAUUGGUCCUGGAGCAUCCUAGAAGCAUUGUCGCAUAAAAAGUACAUUAUAGGUCUAUUUGAAAAAAACUUUUCGUGACCCAGCUGCUGUACGAGUGGUUAGCGUAAUUAAAGCAACAAAUGCAUGAUGCUAACACAAGCCCAAAACAGAGCGCUUUGUUAGUAUAGCAUUAUGCAACGUAAUUUACCCAAUGGUUCUUGGGCACCCUUAAACAGAUAUCAGGCAGCAGGUGGGCUUCUAUAGGAGGCUUUGGAUUCUCUAAGACUCUCCCAACCACCAAAUCAACAACUCGAGGGGCUGUCCGCACAAGAUUGACAACUUCAGUGUGCCCCAUAUUGGUAACAUCUGUAUUGUUCACCUAAAAAUGGAGAAAAAAAAGAAAUAAAAGUAUUAGCCUUGAUUAUAGAGUAGUAAACACUAAAUACUUUCACAUGGUGCUUGUCAUACCGUUAUCAUCCUGUCUCCUGGUCUGAGCCUGCCGUCUCCUUUUGCUGGGUCUUGCACUAUGUCAUGAAUAUAACACCCAUGAUCAUUACCUUUGGUGAGAGUAAAGCCCAGACUGCCUUUUUCAGAUUUUACCAACGAUAUGUUAAGCUCCACCUCCUAAAAAAGAAAACAAUGAAUUAAGAAUUGAUUAACAUUAAGUAUUAACUGCUAAAAACUUACUGGGACAAAUUCAUCCACAUCCUGACCAUUGGCGGAAUGAGUUAGAUUGAGUGGAUGUGGCAGAGGAGGGGGCAGGGGAUCAGGACUUGGGGCAGUUGGUGAGGAGAACAUUGGCUCAGGGGAAUCUAGAUCAGCUGGUGAUGGGGAUGAAGGGCAUCUAUGAAAUAAUAAAUAAGAAAGAAAUUGUAAGAAUAUGUUGCAAAAUAUCACUAAUUCUUCA
rnacentral:lncRNA from 1 species